rnacentral:lncRNA from 1 species
CUCUAACCCAGUUCUCAUUGAUAGUUGGUAACAUGGAGACAUUUAGCAGAAAAGAGUUAAUCAGAUAGGCUUUUCUCUAAUUUUGAUGCUAAAAGAAUUUUUAAAGCAACAUUGGCUUCCUGAAGUUUUAAAGAGCGUUCACCUCUUCCUUGGUGCUAAUGAAACCAGCGUCAUGGCUGCAAAGAGCUUGAAAAGGGUGAUGUAGAGGCUGUGGUCUCAUUUUCAGCUAUGAAAGGGAAAUAGGAAAUUAAGUCUGCCUGAAAGAGAGGUGGAGAACAUGGUUCAGAGAAGAAGACAUCGGAUAAGGCAUUAGAUAGGACUUCAAGGAGGAUAGUGGCACAAAUGAGUGGAGGGCUUGUAGAGGCCUGGCCUGAGUGCUGGGGUGAGGAGGGGGGAGAUGUGGUGCUGAAGAGAGCUGGGGACCUAAUCGUUAAGAGUUUACCCCAGGCUAUUCCCCACAUCCUCACUUUUUGGCCAAAAAUUGAUUGACCAAUGCCCAUUUUUUUAAGUAUAAACUUUC